rnacentral:misc_RNA from 1 species
UAUUUCUGGACUGUGUAGAGUUGACUGUUGAGUGGUGUGCCGUGGAUUGUUGAUUACAGAGACCGCAGAAAGACUGGAUUGUUCCUGUUGUAAUAAUAUUUUCAUCUUAACCCUGCGACUACCAAGCAUUAGGACAAUAUUAAUAUUGUAAUUGCAAAGAUGCCAUCUCAUAAACAUAAAAAAAGGAAGAAGAGCCACAAACAAAAGAAAUAUAUUACAUCAAGCUCUGAGGAUGAAGGAAGGCCAUGGAAAGUUAAAUUAUCAAGUUCAGAUAGUGAGGAUUCGGCAAAUGAAGAAAGAUUAACUUCUUUGGUGAGAAAAUCAUAUUUAAAUCAUCUUCAACAAGCCCUAUCACAGAAUUUUAAAAAUUGGUACAAGAAUACCGAAGAGCUACCUGAAUGUUUAGUACAAGAGUUAGUGAACAAGUGGUCUUUAGUUUUGGAACAGAAAGCCAUAAGGGCCUGUAUGAUGUCUGAGCUUUACAGGAGAAAUAUGGUUUCAUCGAUAAAAGAAAUCAAAGCUAGCACAAAUGAAGAAAGAUUAUAUAUAGAUGAUAUAAGUAUGUCUUCAUUGAAAUCAAAAAUUCCCUUGGAUAAGAACAUACAGACGGAGAAGUUUGGUAGUGAAGUUGAGACACAGACCCAGGCUCCAAUUUCCUCAUUGCUGGAACUACCCUUGCCCAUAAGUCCCUCUAGUAGGCCAUAUGACCCAGCCAUUGAAUUUUCCAGUACUGUUUCCAGCACGAUUCCUCAAUCUUCUGAUGUCUGUAAUAUCACGUCUACUUCAGAUUUCAGUGACCCAGCUCAGAUCUUGUUUAACAUUGUAAAAUCUACAGAUAAAAAAAAUAUUGUUGGUUCAAUUGAUAAACACAGAGAUUGUUAUGAUAACAGUACUGAGCAAAAGCUGGAUUAUGAAAACUCUUUUGAAGACAAUGUUUUUCAGAAGUCUAAGAGUAGUUAUAGGAAUUUAAAAACAUGUGAUACAUUAGUCCCUUUAAAAGGACAAACGUUAGAGGGAUGCCAUAAACCAUCAUCUGGUGAUAAUUUUAAAGAUAAUCUUGAUUCAAGAUUAACUGCAAUGGGCUUGCUUGGUGCCAUCGACAUAGAAACAGAAAGAGCCAUUGCUGAAUUGGCCAACGAAAAAUCUAAAAAAAAUAACUGGUUUGCCGAAGAAAUAGCCCAAUCUUGUAAUUUUACCAGAAGUUUUUUGAGGUUGUCUACACAGCAAAGGAAGAGAGUGAACAUAAAAAUUGAAAAGUUAUUUGGAAAUGAAAACAAUCCUUUAACAGAGCUAACAGAGAAAAAUAUCACAAUAUGCCGCAAGAGAAUAGCAUCAGUGGUUGUCAUGGAACUAACUCCAAUAUAUCAAGCUAAGAAAAUAGCAUCUAGACAUCUAUUUAAAUUUUUAGCAAAGAAAAUUACAAAGUCCCUGAUGGAUAACUCAUAUGCUCCAGGUAGCUGGAAGCUGAUUACCGCCUCUGCCCAUUUGUUAGGGAAUUCAUUCACCAUGCUUUGGUUGUAUAGAGGAUUCAAAAACUGAAAUAUCGUUUGUUGAAGAUUCCUUGGAUGUCGAUGCCAAAGACAAGACGUCAGAUACAAAGAACAUACGUUGGAAGGUGAAGGAAUUUUUCAGUGAUGGGAAAGUUAUAAUGUCUGAGUCUGAUUGUGUAUAGAUAUAUGUUUGUGAUGUCCAAUAGUUGUACAUUUUUCUAUCUGUGAUAUAUACCUGUAUUAAAUAGAAUAGUUUACUAUUUUAAUAUUGUUCAAAUAUAAUUUAAUUUAUUGAAA